rnacentral:rRNA from 1 species
AUUAAACGCUGGCGGCAUGCCUUACACAUGCAAGUCGAACGGUAGCGCGGGGCAACCUGGCGACGAGUGGCGAACGGGUGAGUAAAGCAUCGGAACGUGCCCUGGAAUGGGGGAUAACGUAGCGAAAGUUACGCUAAUACCGCAUAUUCUGUGAGCAGGAAAGCAGGGGAUCGCAAGACCUUGCGUUCUGGGAGCGGCCGAUGUCGGAUUAGCUAGUUGGUGGGGUAAAAGCCUACCAAGGCGACGAUCCGUAGCGGGUCUGAGAGGAUGAUCCGCCACACUGGGACUGAGACACGGCCCAGACUCCUACGGGAGGCAGCAGUGGGGAAUUUUGGACAAUGGGCGGAAGCCUGAUCCAGCCAUGCCGCGUGAGUGAAGAAGGCCUC